AGUGAACGCUGGCGGUAGGCCUAACACAUGCAAGUCGAACGGCAGCACAGUAAGAGCUUGCUCUUACGGGUGGCGAGUGGCGGACGGGUGAGGAAUACAUCGGAAUCUACUUUUUCGUGGGGGAUAACGUAGGGAAACUUACACUAAUACCGCAUACGACCUACGGGUGAAAGCAGGGGAUCUUCGGACCUUGCGCGAUUGAAUGAGCCGAUGUCGGAUUAGCUAGUUGGCGGGGUAAAGGCCCACCAAGGCGACGAUCCGUAGCUGGUCUGAGAGGAUGAUCAGCCACACUGGAACUGAGACACGGUCCAGACUCCUACGGGAGGCAGCAGUGGGGAAUAUUGGACAAUGGGCGCAAGCCUGAUCCAGCCAUACCGCGUGGGUGAAGAAGGCCUUCGGGUUGUAAAGCCCUUUUGUCGGGAAAGAAAAGCAGCAGGUUAAUACCCCGCUGUUCUGACGGUACCCAAAGAAUAAGCACCGGCUAACUUCGUG
rnacentral:rRNA from 1 species